rnacentral:rRNA from 1 species
AAUACGGAAGGUCCAAGCGUUAAUCGGAAUUACUGGGCGUAAAGCGCGCGUAGGUGGUUUAUUAAGUUGGGUGUGAAAGCCCCGGGCUCAACCUGGGAACUGCAUCCAAAACUGAUUCACUAGAGUACGAAAGAGGAAAGUAGAAUUCACAGUGUAGCGGUGGAAUGCGUAGAUAUUGUGAAGAAUACCGAUGGCGAAGGCAGCUUUCUGGUUCUGUACUGACACUGAGGUGCGAAAGCGUSGGUAGCGAACAGGAUUAGAUACCCUGGUAGUCCACGCCGUAAACGAUGACAACUAGCUGUUGGGAAGCUAUGCUUUUCAGUGGCGCAGCUAACGUCUUAAGUUGUCCGCCUGGGGAGUACGGCCGCAAGGUUAAAACUCAAAUGAAUUGACGGGGACCCGCACAAGCGGUGGAGCAUGUGGUUUAAUUCGAUGCAACGCGAAAAACCUUACCUACACUUGACAUACUUGGAAUCUUUUGUAAUGAAAGAGUGCCUUUUGGAGCCAAGAUACAGGUGCUGCAUGGCUGUCGUCAGCUCGUGUCGUGAGAUGUUGGGUUAAGUCCCAUAACGAGCGCAACCCUUACCCUUAUUUGCCAGCGAUUCGGUCGGGAACUAUAAGGGGACUGCCGGUGAUAAACCGGAGGAAGGUGAGGACGACGUCAAGUCAUCAUGGCCCUUACGUGUAGGGCUACACACGUGCUACAAUGGGGAGUACAGAUAGACGCUAAAGCGCGAGCUGGUGCUAAUCUCAUAAAACUCUUCGUAGUCCGGAUUGCAGUCUGCAACUCGACUGCAUGAAGUCGGAAUCGCUAGUAAUCGCGAAUCAGCAUGUCGCGGUGAAUACGUUCUCGGGUCUUGUACACACCGCCCGUCACACCAUGGGAGUGUAUUGCACCAGAAGUGGGUAGUCUAACCUUCGGGAGGGCGCUCACCANCGGUGUGGUCCAU